UCGGGAAUUUUGGGCAAUGGGGGGAAACCCUGACCCAGCAACGCUGCGUGAAGGAUGAAGUAUUUCGGUAUGUAAACUUCGAAAGAAUAGGAAGAAUAAAUGACGGUACUAUUUAUAAGGUCCGGCUAACUACGUGCCAGCAGCCGCGGUAAUACGUAGGGACCAAGCGUUGUUCGGAUUUACUGGGCGUAAAGGGCGCGUAGGCGGCAUGACAAGUCACUUGUGAAAUCUCUGGGCUUAACCCAGAACGGCCAAGUGAUACUGUCGCGCUAGAGUGCAGAAGGGGCAAUCGGAAUUCUUGGUGUAGCGGUGAAAUGCGUAGAUAUCAAGAGGAACACCUGAGGUGAAGACGGGUUGCUGGGCUGACACUGACGCUGAGGCGCGAAAGCCAGGGGAGCAAACGGGAUUAGAUACCCCAGUAGUCCCUGAGCGGGCUGGCAAGGCGCAU
rnacentral:rRNA from 1 species